GUUUCUUUAAGAAAGAGACAUACUUUAAGACAGAUCAUGAAAUAAUUGGAAAUCAUUUAGUUGCUUUAGAGAAUUUUAAUCUUCCAAGUUCUCAAUUAGAUCCUAUGACAAUGACCAACUUCUCAAUUACGACAAUGAAAGAAUCAGAACUUUGGAAAACCAUUUCUCUGGAGAAAAUUGGGCAUUAGAGUAGGCAGUAGAAUUGAGGAGAAAAACAAAGCUAUUUAUUUUAACAUUCUGAGAUGAACUUCACAAACUUUAGAUCAAAAGAGUUAAGAUAUCAAGAGAAAGGAAUAAUAUGAAGCAAGUGUAGGUAGGUUCACAAAGAACAAGUCAAAUCAUUUUUAUGUAUAAAAUGUGACCUGUUUAUUGAGAAUCCAUGUUAGCUCAAACAUUAACAUGAAUGCAAUCUCAGAAUGGGUAGAUCAGCUAUAAAUGCUUCAAGACCAGGUACUCAUCAUCCUAUUUAAUAUCAAGUAAUGCUUCAGUUGGAAAUUCUCUUUUAACUUCUUAAGUUGAUCAUAGGACAAUUCCCUCUGUGGGACUUGACCAGGACUGCACACAGUAGAACUCCUAUUGCCCUCUCAUGUGCUCCUCUAAUAUUUCAAGUUCUUCCAACAAACUCCCAUUUUUUUCCUCACAUUCAAUUUGUGGGAUCACCCCUAGAAAUCCUUUCUCCUGGAUAUCUUCUAGGCUUUUUCCUGAGUAGAGUCACUGAAUCUAAAGCUUUCAAAUAUUUGAAAAGAACUAACCAAUUUUAAUAUACAUUUAUAAUAUAAAUUGAAUUAAUAUAUGUUUAAUGUACAGUGUACUUUGAAAAAGAAAUGCUAUGAAUAAAAAUAAUACAAUUAAAAAUUUUAUGUAAGUGUGGGAUAAAAUUUUCCAUGCUUUUAAAGGAUAAUAAUCAUAAACAUUUUUACCUACAGUUAAUAGUGGCCCUGAUGUCACUCAAUUACUAGUUUUUUGUAGUCUAUAAAUUAAAUCCCAUCUAGUUUGGAUCUCAAUUAAAUUAUUUCCUUAUAUUAAAAACUUGUAUAGUAUAGGGA
rnacentral:lncRNA from 1 species